GAUCCUGGCUCAGGAUGAACGCUAGCGGCAGGCUUAACACAUGCAAGUCGAGGGGCAACGCGAGUAGCAAUACUUGGCGGCGACCGGCGCAAGGGUGCGUAACGCGUGAGCAACAUGCCCGUAUCAGGGGGAUAAUCCAGGGAAACUUGGUCUAAUACCCCAUAGUAAUUUUGUAAGGCAUCUUAUAAGAUUUAAAGCUUUGGUGGAUACGGAUUGGCUCGCGUGACAUUAGCUGGAUGGUAAGGUAACGGCUUACCAUGGCUAUGAUGUCUAGGGGUUCUGAGAGGAAGGUCCCCCACACUGGAACUGAGACACGGUCCAGACUCCUACGGGAGGCAGCAGUGAGGAAUAUUGGACAAUGGAUGGAAAUCUGAUCCAGCCAUGCCGCGUGAAGGAAAGAAGGUCCUAUGGAUUGUAAACUUCUUUUGUAUGGGAGCAAUAAGGCCUACGUGUAGGUUGAUGAGAGUACCAUACGAAUAAGCACCGGCUAACUCCGUGCCAGCAGCGGC
rnacentral:rRNA from 1 species